AUUGAACGCUGGCGGCAUGCCUUACACAUGCAAGUCGAACGGCAGCGGACCUUCGGGUGCCGGCGAGUGGCGAACGGGUGAGUAAUGCAUCGGAACGUACCUUUCAGUGGGGGAUAACGUAGCGAAAGUUACGCUAAUACCGCAUAUUCUGUGAGCAGGAAAGCAGGGGAUCGCAAGACCUUGCGCUGAUUGAGCGGCCGAUGUCAGAUUAGCUAGUUGGUGAGGUAAAGGCUCACCAAGGCGACGAUCUGUAGCGGGUCUGUGAGGAUGAUCCGCCACACUGGACUGAGACACGGCCCAGACUCCUACGGGAGGCAGCAGUGGGGAAUUUUGGACAAUGGGGGCAACCCUGAUCCAGCCAUGCCGCGUGAGUGAAGAAGGCCUUCGGGUUGUAAAGCUCUUUCGGCCGGGAAGAAAUCGCACAGGCUAAUACCUUGUGUGGAUGACGGUACCGGAAUAAGAAGCACCGGCUAACUACGUGCCAGCAGCCGCAGUAAGAC
rnacentral:rRNA from 1 species